rnacentral:sRNA from 1 species
CGCGCUGCCGCCCGACAGCAAAGCAUCAAACCCGGACCUGAACUGGGUGGCGAGUUCCCUGUGCAGGACAUGAAGACUGGUGAGGGUGGCCUGCUGCAGGUGACCCUGGAAGGGAUCAACCUCAAAUUCAUGCACAAUCAGUGUUACCUUUUUCUCUCAGUGGACAUUCCUUAAGCUAAU